rnacentral:piRNA from 2 species
UGGGCUUAAAGCUGUCCUGCCAGAUUCUCC